rnacentral:rRNA from 1 species
UCCUACGGGAGGCAGCAGUGGGAAAUAUUGGGCAAUGGGCGCAAGCCUGAGGCAGCAACGCCGCGUGCGGGACGAAGGCCCUCGGGUCGUAAACCGCUUUCAGCAGGGAAGACCACGACGGUACCUGCAGAAGAAGCUCCGGCUAACUACGUGCCGGCAGCCGCGGUAAUACGUAGGGGGCGAGCGUUAUCCGGAUUCAUUGGGCGUAAAGCGCGCGUAGGCGGCCGCCUAAGCGGAACAUCUAACCCCGGGGCUCAACCUC